UACGUAGGGUGCAGGCGUUAAUCGGAAUUACUGGGCGUAAAGCGUGCGCAGGCGGUUUCUUAAGUCAGAUGUGAAAGCCCCGGGCUUAACCUGGGAACUGCGUUUGAAACUGGGAGACUUGAGUGUGGCAGAGGGGGGUGGAAUGCCGCGUGUAGCAGUGAAAUGCGUAGAGAUGCGGCGGAACACCGAUGGCGAAGGCAGCCCCCUGGGCUGAGAUUGACGCUCAGGCACGAAAGCGUGGGGAGCGAACAGG
rnacentral:rRNA from 1 species